GAAGGUUUCCUCCUGAGUCAGGCAGAGGAGAGGAAACAGGCAGAGCAGCAGAGGAAGGAUCUUUUGGCAGAAAGGGGUCUUGAUUCUUCUGAGGCAGAGAAGACUCCGUUGGACGCCAGAGUGAGGCCUCUGGGUGACGGAAUGAUGCCACCAAGACCUGCUCCUUCAUCUUUUCAUGGUGGUGGAGGGGAGGCAGCAGCUGUGGACCCAGAUCAGACGAGGAGUGGGCGUUGCUGGAUCCUGACCAGAGAGCUCUCCAUAAGGAAGUCAUGGAGGAGAAUCGUGGGAUCUUGGACUCUCUCGGUAAGGCUCCCUAUUGGAUCAUCCUAUCUGUUUUGUAAUGCAAGACAUCUCUCUAUGUGACGAACCUCUGAUAUUUUGAUGGGGCUCAACAGCGCCACCCACAGCACCUGGGAUGUUAACACUCCCACAGCAAACCUUGGAUGGAUGGCUAUUGAUUGUUUUCCCUGUGAAUAUUCUUCCUCCAGUUCUGUGGUUUAAAACCACGAUCAGGCUGUCUGAACUGCCCAGGCCUUCUUAAAUGUAGGAUUCAGAGUGAUUUGAGGUGUUGAAGUAGCUUCAGUCAAGUUUCCUGCUUUUGUUCUUGCUUCUGUCUCUCUCUGGUUGACCAAAGAGUCGCUUGACAUUGGAGAUGGCACAGAUUCCACGACUGAACCAAACAAACUCCAUCCCAAAACAGAGCCAGGCUUUUUGAAUCUCAGGCAGUGAACCCUGUAGUAACAAUAAUGAUAAUUUUAUUAUUUUUGUCCUUCCCAUCUGAUUGGAUUGCCCCAGCCACUCUGGGCAACUUCCAACAAAUAUAAAACCAUAAUAAAACAUCAAACAUUAAAAACUUCCCAAUACAGAGGUGCCUUCAGAAGUCCUCUAAAAGUUGUAUCGUUAUUUCCUUGGCAUCUGCUGGGGGGGCGUUCCACAGGGUAGGUUCCCCUAUCGAGAAGGCCCCCUGCCUCGUCCCCUGUAAUUUCUCCAUGUCAUGUAACAUUUAAGUAAGGAAACUUAAAUAAUAAUACUAAUGCUGAUAUGACAAGUUUCUGCUGCAAUCUCUGAUGUCGAGAAUUUAA